rnacentral:rRNA from 1 species
UGNUCUGUCACUGACGCUGAGGCUCGAAAGCGUGGGUAGCGAACAGGAUUAGAUACCCUGGUAGUCCACGCCGUAAACGAUGAGUGCUAGGUGUUAGGCCCUUUCCGGGGCUUAGUGCCGGAGCUAACGCAAUAAGCACUCCGCCUGGGGAGUACGACCGCAAGGUUGAAACUCAAAGGAAUUGACGGGGGCCCGCACAAGCGGUGGAGCAUGUGGUUUAAUUCGAAGCAACGCGAAGAACCUUACCAGGUCUUGACAUCCCGAUGCUAUUCUUAGAGAUAGGAAGUUACUUCGGUACAUCGGAGACAGGUGGUGCAUGGUUGUCGUCAGCUCGUGUCGUGAGAUGUUGGGUUAAGUCCCGCAACGAGCGCAACCCUUAUUGUUAGUUGCCAUCAUUAAGUUGGGCACUCUAGCGAGACUGCCGGUAAUAAACCGGAGGAAGGUGGGGAUGACGUCAAAUCAUCAUGCCCCUUAUGACCUGGGCUACACACGUGCUACAAUGGUCGGUACAACGAGUUGCGAGCCGGUGACGGCAAGCUAAUCUCUGAAAGCCGAUCUCAGUUCGGAUUGGAGGCUGCAACUCGCCUCCAUGAAGUCGGAAUCGCUAGUAAUCGCGGAUCAGCACGCCGCGGUGAAUACGUUCCCGGGCCUUGU